UCCCUGGUAGCUCAGUCGGUAGAGUAGCGGACUGUUAAUCCGUUUGUCGGUGGUUCGAGUCCACCUCGGGGAGCCA
rnacentral:tRNA from 1 species